GAUGAACGCUGGCGGCGUGCCUAAUACAUGCAAGUCGAGCGAAUGGAUUAAGAGCUUGCUCUUAUGAAGUUAGCGGCGGACGGGUGAGUAACACGUGGGUAACCUGCCCAUAAGACUGGGAUAACUCCGGGAAACCGGGGCUAAUACCGGAUAACAUUUUGAACCGCACGGUUCGAAAUUGAAAGGCUGCUUCGGCUGUCACUUAUGGAUGGACCCGCGUCGCAUUAGCUAGUGGGUGAGGUAACGGCUCACCAAGGCAACGAUGCGUAGCCGACCUGAGAGGGUGAUCGGCCACACUGGGACUGAGACACGGCCCAGACUCCUACGGGAGGCAGCAGUAGGGAAUCUUCCGCAAUGGACGAAAGUCUGACGGAGCAACGCCGCGUGAGUGAUGAAGGCUUUCGGGUCGUAAAACUCUGUUGUUAGGGAAGAACAAGUGCUAGUUGAAUAAGCUGGCACCUUGACGGUACCUAACCAGAAAGCCACGGCUAACUACGUGCCAGCCGCCGCCGUAA
rnacentral:rRNA from 1 species